ensembl:snRNA U6 U6 spliceosomal RNA
GAGCUCGCUUCAGCAGCUCAUGUACUAAAAUUGGAGGAAUACGGAGAAGAUUAGCAUGGCCCCUGUACAAGGAUGACAUGCAAAUUAGUGAAGCAUUCCAUAUUUUU